AGCUAAUUGACGAGUCCCAAAUAGGACGAAACACGAGUCCUGGGU
rnacentral:hammerhead_ribozyme from 1 species